rnacentral:antisense_RNA from 1 species
CAUCAUGGGCGGCCCGUGCGGGGAGCGCUCGCGCUCGCCGGUGCCUUGGUUCCGGUAUGCCAACCCGCACGGUGCCCGCCCGCCCCG